rnacentral:rRNA from 1 species
GAUGAACGCUAGCGGCAGGCUUAACACAUGCAAGUCGAGGGGUAUAGUUCUUCGGAGCUAGAGACCGGCGCACGGGUGCGUAACGCCUAUGCAAUCUACCUUUUGCAGAGGGAUAGCCCAGAGAAAUUUGGAUUAAUACCUCAUGGUAUGUGAGAAUGGCAUCAUUUUCAUAUACAAGUCACAACGGCAAAAGAUGAGCAUGAGUCCCAUUAGUUCGUUGGUAAGGUAACGGCUUACCAAGGCAACGAUGGGUAGGGGUCCUGAGAGGGAGAUCCCCCACACUGGUACUGAGACACGGACCAGACUCCGACGGGAGGCAGCAGUGAGGAAUAUUGGACAAUGGGCGCAAGCCUGAUCCAGCCAUGCCGCGUGCAGGAUGACGGUCCUAUGGAUUGUAAGCUGCUUUUGUACAGGAAGAAACACUGGUUCGUGAACCAGCUUGACGGUACUGUAAGAAUAAGGAUCGGCUAACUCCGUGCCAGCCGCCGCCGUAACAC